rfam:Clostridium paraputrificum strain 373-A1 CP373A1_34, whole genome shotgun sequence.
AUUUAAAAUAAAUUGUUCACUUAUAUAAAUCCUACAAUAUGGGUUGGAUGUUUCUACCGAGUUACCGUAAAUUACUCUGGGCUAUAAGUGUCUGCUAAGUAUAU